GAUGAACGCUAGCGGCAGGCCUAACACAUGCAAGUCGAGGGGCAGCACGUCUUCGGAUGGUGGCGACCGGCGCACGGGUGCGUAACGCGUAUGCAACCUACCUCUUACAGUGGGAUAGCCCAGAGAAAUUUGGAUUAAUACCGCAUAGUAUACAGAUUCAGCAUUGGGACUGUAUUAAACAUUUAUGGGUAAGAGAUGGGCAUGCGUUCUAUUAGUUAGUUGGAGUGGUAACGGCACCCCAAGACAGCGAUAGAUAGGGGCCCGUCGAGAGGGGGAGUCCCCCACCACUGGUACGUGAGACACGGACCAGACUCCUACGGGAGGCAGCAGUGAGGAAUAUUGGACGAAUGGGCGAGAGCCUGAUCCAGCCAUGCCGCGUGCAGGAAGACGGCCCUAU
rnacentral:rRNA from 1 species